UACGGAGGGUGCAAGCGUUAUCCGGAUUUACUGGGUUUAAAGGGCGUGUAGGCGGGCUUUUAAGUCAGUGGUGAAAUCUCCGGGCUCAACCUGGAAACUGCCAUUGAUACUAUUAGUCUUGAAUUUUGUUGAGGUAGGCGGAAUAAGUCAUGUAGCGGUGAAAUGCAUAGAUAUGACUUAGAACACCAAUUGCGAAGGCAGCUUGCUAAACAAAUAUUGACGCUGAGGCACGAAAGCGUGGGGAUCAAACAGG
rnacentral:rRNA from 1 species